GCGUGGGGGCGUGCUAUACAUGCAGUCGACGCACAGCGAAAGGUGCUUGCACCUUUCAAGUGAGUGGCGAACGGGUGAGUAACACGUGGACAACCUGCCUCAAGGCUGGGGAUAACAUUUGGAAACAGAUGCUAAUACCGAAUAAAACUUAGUGUCGCAUGACACAAAGUUAAAAGGCGCUUCGGCGUCACCUAGAGAUGGAUCCGCGGUGCAUUAGUUAGUUGGUGGGGUAAAGGCCUACCAAGACAAUGAUGCAUAGCCGAGUUGAGAGACUGAUCGGCCACAUUGGGACUGAGACACGGCCCAAACUCCUACGGGAGGCUGCAGUAGGGAAUCUUCCACAAUGGGCGAAAGCCUGAUGGAGCAACGCCGCGUGUGUGAUGAAGGCUUUCGGGUCGUAAAGCACUGUUGUAUGGGAAGAACAGCUAGAAUAGGAAAUGAUUUUAGUUUGACGGUACCAUACCAGAAAGGGACGGCUAAAUACGUGCCAGCAGCCGCGGUAAUACGUAUGUCCCGAGCGUUAUCCGGAUUUAUUGGGCGUAAAGCGAGCGCAGACGGUUUAUUAAGUCUGAUGUGAAAGCCCGGAGCUCAACUCCGGAAUGGCAUUGGAAACUGGUUAACUUGAGUGCAGUAGAGGUAAGUGGAACUCCAUGUGUAGCGGUGGAAUGCGUAGAUAUAUGGAAGAACACCAGUGGCGAAGGCGGCUUACUGGACUGCAACUGACGUUGAGGCUCGAAAGUGUGGGUAGCAAACAGGAUUAGAUACCCUGGUAGUCCACACCGUAAACGAUGAACACUAGGUGUUAGGAGGUUUCCGCCUCUUAGUGCCGAAGCUAACGCAUUAAGUGUUCCGCCUGGGGAGUACGACCGCAAGGUUGAAACUCAAAGGAAUUGACGGGGACCCGCACAAGCGGUGGAGCAUGUGGUUUAAUUCGAAGCAACGCGAAGAACCUUACCAGGUCUUGACAUCCUUUGAAGCUUUUAGAGAUAGAAGUGUUCUCUUCGGAGACAAAGUGACAGGUGGUGCAUGGUCGUCGUCAGCUCGUGUCGUGAGAUGUUGGGUUAAGUCCGCAACGAGCGCAACCCUUAUUGUUAGUUGCCAGCAUUCAGAUGGGCACUCU
rnacentral:rRNA from 1 species